rnacentral:hammerhead_ribozyme from 1 species
AUCUAGUCGACGAGUCCCAAAUAGGGCGAAAUGCGCAUCCUGGCAU